AUUCCAGCUCCAAUAGCGUAUAUUUAAGUUGUUGCAGUUAAAAAGCUCGUAGUUGGAUUUCGGGUGAGGAUGACCGGUCUGCCGUUGCGGUACGCACUGGACGUUUUCAUCUUGUUGUCGGGGACGCGCUUCUGGGCUUCACUGUUCGGGACGCGGAGUCGGCGCUGUUACUUUGGAAAAAUUAGAGUGUUCAAAGCAGGCAAUCGCUCUGAAUACAUUAGCAUGGAAUAACGCUAUAGGACUCUGGUCCUAUUGUGUUGGUCUUCGGGACCGGAGUAAUGAUUAAGAGGGACAGUUGGGGGCAUUCGUAUUUCAUUGUCAGAGGUGAAAUUCUUGGAUUUAUGAAAGACGAACUUCUGCGAAAGCAUUUGCCAAGGAUGUUUUCAUCG
rnacentral:rRNA from 1 species